rnacentral:rRNA from 1 species
GCGAGUCGAAUGUAGCAAUACAUGGCGUACUGCUCAGUAACACGUGGAUAACCUGCCCUUGAGACGGGGAUAAACCCGGGAAACUGGGUAUAAUACCCGAUAGAUCUCGGCUGCUGGAAUGCACCGAGUUCUAAAGCUCCGGCGCUCAAGGAUGGAUCUGCGGCCUAUCAGGUAGUAGUGGGUGUAGCGUACCUACUAGCCUACGACGGGUACGGGUUGUGAGAGCAAGAGCCCGGAGAUGGAUUCUGAGACACGAAUCCAGGCCCUACGGGGUGCAGCAGGCGCGAAAACUUUACAAUGCUGGAAACAGCGAUAAGGGGACCUCGAGUGCCAGGUUACAAAUCUGGCUGUCGUGAUGCCUAAAAAGCAUUGCAUAGCAAGGGCCGGGCAAGACCGGUGCCAGCCGCCGCGGUAACACCGGCGGCUCGAGUGGUAACCGUUAUUAUUGGGUCUAAAGGGUCUGUAGCCGGCCGGAUAAGUCUCUUGGGAAAUCUGGCAGCUUAACUGUCAGGCUUUCAGGAGAUACUGUCUGGCUCGAGGCCGGGAGAGGUGAGAGGUACUUCAGGGGUAGGGGUGAAAUCUUGUAAUCCUUGAAGGACCACCAGUGGCGAAGGCGUCUCACCAGAACGGACCUGACGGCAAGGGACGAAAGCUAGGGGCACGAACCGGAUUAGAUACCCGGGUAGUCCUAGCCGUAAACGAUACUCGCUAGGUGUCGGCCACGGUGCGACCGUUGUCGGUGCCGUAGGGAAGCCGUGAAGCGAGCCACCUGGGAAGUACGGCCGCAAGGCUGAAACUUAAAGGAAUUGGCGGGGGAGCACCACAACGGGUGGAGCUUGC